rnacentral:lncRNA from 1 species
AAACAGGCUCAGCCCAAACAAUGGCCUGGAACGCCCGGCUUUCGGGCCCCGCCGGAAGCCCGUCCAGCGCCCAACAAAAGCGGCGCGACAAGUCUACGACUGAGCCGAACGCUUCUGGGCGCCGCGCGCCAGGGGGAAACGUUCGCGGCGGAACGUUCAGGAGAAAACGCUCCAGCAACUCCCAGCCGACCCCGCCCCUCCCCGACCUACCAUAGACGCCGUCCUCCAUGGCGGCUAGGAAGGCCCGCGGGGAAUCCGGGGCGGUCCCGCCAGUCGGGCCUGGAUCCGCGUUGGCCCGCGGGCUCGGAUGGGGAAACUGACAUGAAGAGGAGUCCAAAGUGACACAGUCAGGCCAGAAAUGUUGCUUCUGAAGUCCUGAGUCCACCUCCUAGCACUGCCAAGCAGUCCACCUGGAGGUGAUGAGAACUUCCAGGCUUUGGUAAUGGACAACUCUGUAUCCCUGGAGCCUUCAUUCCUUUUGGCAUUACAGAACCACAAGAAGUCAUCUAGAAUCAUUGAGAUUCUCAACUCCAUUGGGCAAACUGGAACCAGCAAAAUCUCAGAUAUCUAGAAUUGCCACUGCUUCCUUGACUCUGUGAUCAGUCUACAGCCACAGAAUCCUGAUUCCCUUUGGACAUUCUAGAAUGGCACUUUAAAAAAAAACAACCCACCCA